AAGGCAAAUGAAUCCAGACAGAAAAUAAACAAAUAUGUAAAUAAGAUGGGGAUCUAGCUGAUGUCCCCAUCAGUGAUUUAUUUGAUUCUUUUUUUAUCUGGUUUCCAGAGAAGGUUUUCUAGUGCGGUUGUGCUGGUUUCUUAAUUUCUUGUUUGGUGUCUUCUUUUUUUUUUUACUUUUGUGUCCAGUAGUGAUCUUGGUGUCUAGUUUUGUGAUCUUUUAGAUGUGAACCUCAUUCUAUCGGAUUAAUUAAAACUCUUGAGGGUUUUGAUCAUCUAUUUUUGUUUUUAGAAUUGGUUUUAUGCUAAUUUCGGUAGAUUUGGCAAAAGUGGCUUUCGAAUUGUUUUUUUAUAGGUUAAACAGGUUAAACAGGUCGGAUCGGGUUGGGGAAAUAGGUUACCUGUUUAUUAAACAGGUUAAACGGGUCGGGUCGGGUUAUCUGUUUAUUAAACAUGAUAGGUUUGGGUUAUAAUUCCUUACCUGUUUAAUAAAUGAACAUGUUGGAUUCAGGUUUAUGAUUUCUGACCCGACCUGCAUAUGACCCGAUCCGUUUAUGUCCGACCCAACCCGAUUGCCACCCCUAGCAUCUUAUUAUCUACACUAAAGUUUGUGUUUGGGUGCAGGCUGAGAAGUAUAUAAGAAGUUACCAUUCUCAAACUUUAUUUACAUUUCUUUUCUCACCCAUUGGAAAUGGUUAGAUUAAUCCUGCACUAGCUGCACCAUAUACUAGCAGUUUAGCUUGGAUACUUCUGUUACUUUGAAUUCAUAAUCAAUGGUGCUAAUAACAGCUUUUGCAGGUUUUGACAAAUAUGGUAUAAUGUAAAUGUAGGAGGUGGUUACGAGAGUGGGUAGUUGCAAUUCUGAGAAUGAUCAGCUGCUGAAGGAGUCUUAUAUCCCAAAUACGUACUGUUACCAGACUUAUCAGUAGAGCAUCUUUCCCGGUUGUCCUAUGAUAGUUUAUAUCAACACCAAAACCAGUGGUCAACUUGGAGGUGAUUUGAUUGUAACAUACGGUGCACUUCUUAACAGAGUACAGGUACUAUUCAUAUACAGAAGAUUAUUACUUCGAAUAGUACCUUGUACGAUCAGAUUUUAAACCUAAAACUAAUUUGUGCCUCAGUUAGACUAAGAAAAUGCAUUCAGAAUGCAUGGCUUUUAUUUAAAUUGUAUAAUUUUGAGGUUUUUGAUUUGAGUGAGGAAGCACGGAUAAGGUGCUGCAGAAGCUUUAUUGCUUUAUUGAUUUGAGUGAGGAAGCACCAAGUCUGAGGAUCACCACUGCUUUUAGCUCCUUUCAUCGCAGCUCCUUCCGGUUCGAGAAAG
rnacentral:lncRNA from 1 species